UACGUAGGGGGCAAGCGUUGUCCGGAUUUAUUGGGCGUAAAGAGCGUGUAGGCGGCCAAGCAGGUCCGCUGUGAAAACUCGAGGCUCAACCUCGAGACGUCGGUGGAAACCGUUUGGCUAGAGUCCGGAAGAGGAGAGUGGAAUUCCCGGUGUAGCGGUGAAAUGCGCAGAUAUCGGGAAGAACACCCGUGGCGAAGGCAGGUCUCUGGGCCACUACUGACGCUGAGAAGCGAAAGCAUGGGGAGCGAACGAGGA
rnacentral:rRNA from 1 species